AAAAUCCGUUGACUUUUAAAAUCGUGAGGGUUCAAGUCCCUCUAUCCCCAACUCUACUCCCCCAAACAGUCUGUUUGACACCUUACCUUUUUUAGUUAUUCAAGAAUUCAUUAUCUUUUUUCAUUCAUCCUACGCCUUUACAAACUAUAAUUAAUUUCUUUUUUUUUAUUUUUUAUUAUAUAAAAAAGUCUUGUGGGAUAUAUCCUACACGUACAAAUGAGAAAUCAAAUGAGAAAUCAAUAUAGAUUUGAAUUAUUUAGAAUCUAUAUCAUUUUUUUAUUUGCAAAUUUAGAAAGUCUUCCUUUCGAAGAUCCAAGAAAUUCCCGGUCCAAAACUUUUCUCAUUUACUACUUUUGCGUUGCUUUUAAUUGACAUAGACCUAAGUCAUCGCAUAAAAUAAGAAUGAUACUUCGGUAAUGGCCGGGAUAGCUCAGUUGGUAGAGCAGAGGAC
rnacentral:tRNA from 1 species